rnacentral:lncRNA from 1 species
AUGAAAACACCGAGUAGAUCUGGCUGGAGAACACAGAAGGUCAGGGCUGGGAGGGGGCUUAGAACAGGGAAUGUCAGAGCUGGGAGGAACCUUAGAACAGAGAAUGUCAGAACUGGGAGGGAGCUUAGAACUGAGAAUGUCAGGCCUGGGAGAGAGCUUAGAACUGAGAAUGUCAGGACUGAGAGGGAGCUUAGAACUGAGAAUGUCAGGACUGGGAGGGAGCUUAGAACUGAGAAUGUCAGGGCUGGGAAGGAGCUUAGAACAGGAAGUGUCAGAGCUGGGAGGAACCUUAGAACAGAGAAUGUCAGAACUGGGAGGGAGCUUAGAACUGAGAAUGUCAGGACUGGGAGGGAGCUUAGAACUGAGAAUGUCAGGACUGAGAGGGAGCUUAGAAGUGAGAAUGUCAGGACUGGGAGGGAGCUUAGAACAGGGAGUGUCAGAGCUGGGAGGAACCUUAGAACAGAGAAUGUCAGAACUGGGAGGGAGCUUAGAACUGAGAAUGUCAGGCCUGGGAGGGAGCUUAGAACUGAGAAUGUCAGGACUGAGAGGGAGCUUAGAACUGAGAAUGUCAGGACUGGGAGGGAGCUUAGAACUGAGAAUGUCAGGGCUGGGAAGGAGCUUAGAACAGGAAGUGUCAGAGCUGGGAGGAACCUUAGAACAAAGAAUGUCAGAACUGGGAGGGAGCUUAGAACUGAGAAUGUCAGGACUGGGAGGGAGCUUAGAACUGAGAAUGUCAGGACUGAGAGGGAGCUUAGAACUGAGAAUGUCAGGACUGGGAAGGAGCUUAGAACAGGAAGUGUCAGAGCUGGGAGGAACCUUAGAACAGAGAAUGUCAGAACUGGGAGGGAGCUUAGAACUGAGAAUGUCAGGACUGGGAGGGAGCUUAGAACUGAGAAUGUCAGGACUGAGAGGGAGCUUAGAACUGAGAAUGUCAGGACUGGGAGGGAGCUUAGAACAGGGAGUGUCAGAGCUGGGAGAGAAUUUAGAACAGGGAAUGUCAUGGGAAGGGCAGGGGGAGGGGAGGGAGGAAUAGAAUAUGAUUUUUACAACUAA